AGCCGUCAACGGAAGGCCUCUGUUUUCUGUUGCUGCGCAAACUUUGUUGUACAUUCGCUGCUGGAAAAUACCGUUGGAUUUACUGAGGUGUUAUUUGUUAGUUCCCGUUUGACACCUGUCGGAGAAAGGUUGUGCUUCAAUCCGGAAUAAAGUCCUGUCAAUGGCGACUUCAGUAAAAGGGUUCAUUUUCUCUUCAUUGCUGGCACCGCUUCGUUUCAACAAGGCACAUCCACCUCGGAGCAGAGCCCCAGGUGGACCCAGAACAUGCUGGAGGGAUUACAUGUUCCACCUGGUCUGCAUGCCUCAGGAUCCCUCAGGAAAUGCUGGAGGUAGUGUCUGAGGAGGAGGACGUCUGGAUUAGUUCACUUAUCCUGUGAUUGAACACAGAUAAAAGUUUCAGCCAAGUGAGUUACAGCACAAGAUAACCAUUUUACACCUUGUCACAGAUACUGCUACCACCUCAUUACAGCCAGGGCUGCAGCCGCUGUGAAAUUCCCCAGGGGAGGGAGGCACUGAAGCAGAGGCCAGACA